rnacentral:tRNA from 1 species
ACUUAAAUAGCUUAUUUAAGAGUAUAACAUUGAAGAUGUUGUGGAGGAAAUAUUUUACCUUUAAGUA